rnacentral:tRNA from 1 species
GCCCGGAUGGCGAAAUUGGUAGACGCGCUAGGUUCAGGGUCUAGUGGGAGAACUCCCAUACAGGUUCGAGUCCUGCUCCGGGCA